UACGGAGGGGGCUAGCGUUGUUCGGAAUUACUGGGCGUAAAGCGCACGUAGGCGGCUUUGUAAGUUAGAGGUGAAAGCCCAGGGCUUAACCCUGGAAUUGCCUUUAAGACUGCAUCGCUAGAAUCGUGGAGAGGUGAGUGGAAUUCCGAGUGUAGAGGUGAAAUUCGUAGAUAUUCGGAAGAACACCAGUGGCGAAGGCGACUCACUGGACACGGUAUUGACGCUGAGGUGCGAAAGCGUGGGGAGCAAACAGGG
rnacentral:rRNA from 1 species